UAUGUGCGCAAGGUGAGCCACUCUUCUCCGACGAAGCCGAGGCGCCAAAGAUAAACUCGUGCAUCUCCUCCGAUCCUCGUGGGGACCAGGCGACCGAUGGAUGUUGCCGCAGAGAGACAGGCGGCGCCGGCGGGCGUGCAUGGCGUGUCCUCCUCCAGGCUGAUCGCCGGCUUUAUUUCAGGCGCGCUCACUGGCCUCUUCGCUCUCGCUGGAGCAUUAACCGGAGCAGUCACCGGCGCGCUGGCUGGCGGAGCCUCCGAUAGCGGCGUUCUCCGGGGAGCUAGAUCUGGAGCCAUCACCGGGGCUGUCCUCUCCAUCGUGGUUCUCCAGGCAUCUCGCGCCUACUGGUGCUCGGACCGGCUCGGCGCAUCAUCCAUGUCCAUGACAGAUUUCAUAGAGCAGCUCCUUCAUGCCCGGUUUGAGCAGCAGCGGCUUGGAUUUUCAGCACAUACAUCACACCAGUCGCAGGUCAGCAUAUCCGACUUUGGUCACGAUGAUGUGUAUGAAAUCUUCGGAGACAUUUCAUUGAGAGGGCUUUCGCACGAGUCCCUGAAGAAAUUGCCACACUAUGUGGUAACUGAUCAGGUCCAUAGCACAUUUCAUGAAAACCUGCCUUGCACUAUUUGUCUACAGACUAUCACCGGCAGGUCAAAAGCCCUUUCAAUGGCCACCCGCAUGUCCAUAUGAGACAGGGAUGUCUCACCCAUCUCAAAUGAGUGGAAAGCCCGCCAGUGAUAGCUAUAAUCACAGGAUAUGGUAGCUGGCGAGACAGCAAGGAGGUUGCCGAAUUGCUCCCAUGCUUUUCACCAGCCCUGCGUGGACAAAUGGCUCUUUACCCACGGUUCAUGCCCUAUGUGUCGGCAACAUGUGCAGCGUAUAUAGGAAUACAUGCAUUUUUUACAGUCGAGUUCUCUGUCCUAGAAGGAAUUAAUUAUGUAAAAUAUAUGCUCUCAUACAAUGUAGAAAGGGAGAGGAGAGAGAGUAUACACACACCGCGUACUCCAAGCAAGUGGAUCUGUACAUCUGACAUUUUAUCUUACAUUCCGGGAAAAUGUUGUGUGGAAACGUCUGCCAUAGAAUGUAUACAAGACAUUCAAUUUUACAAUGUGCUUCUGUGAUGAGGCAGAAACAGUGCAUCAUUUGUCUAUUUCUUGCCCA